UACACUGCAGGACGGAGGCCGAGGAGGAAGGCGCGUCGAACCAUCUGGCGCGCCUCGCGUGAAGGGCCUUCGGGCAUUUGCGAGGGAGCCGCUCGCGGGCGGCUGCCGCCGGUGGGGUCGCGGAUGAGUGCGCAAGCGUUCCCGUAACCCCACCAAUAAGGCGGCGAGGUGACAUAUGGGGGGUUUUUAGUGGGUAUACCGUCGGCCUCAUUAGCCUGGACGGGAGUCCCACAUAACCACUCGGGUCGCCCCCCGCACCCGGGUGGUAUGCGGAAUGCAUUUUCCCCCUAGAAAAAAAAAAAAAAAAAAAAAAAAAAAAAAAAAAAAAAAAAAAAAAGGUUUCCUCACGAUGUUUUCCUUCACCGAAAAGCUAGUGGUAAAUAUCAAAUGAUAUUUCGUACAUAAGUUCCGAAAAACUCAUUGGUACGAGCCAGGAUUUGAACCCGUGACCUCCCGAUUGAAAGUCGGACGUCAUAUUCGCUCGGCCACUACCGCUUUUUAGUCAAUAUAUAUAAUAUAAAAAUACUUACAUGACCCAAAACAGCCAUGACUCUCAGAAACAAAUAUGCGUGCACAUCACACAAAUAAAGGAUUUGAACCCGCGCCUAUCGGCUUCAUGUAGGCAGGAUCACUACCCACUAGGCGAGGCAGGUCGUCGAACAUAACAUUAGCUAAUUUCAAAGUGUAGGCCAUGCUAAGUUUUUUAUUUACCAAGUAACGAAUCAUAUCAGCUACACAUUAUAAAACUUCAACAAGAUUUAUUUAGUACAGAAUUAUGACUGCACAAAAUCGAUGAAUCCACCGCCUGUACGUGAUAUUUUGCUAAUUUAAAUUGAGUGAAAGCACGAAAAGUUAUUUUACGAUCUUUGCCGUGUAUUUUAGCAAAUAAGAUCUUAAAAAAUAUUUAUCUAUAAAAAGCUUACCUAUUAUAAAAAGCACGUUGAAAUAUUUACCGAGGAUGGUCAAUGCGAUUGAUUAUUAUUACUGGUAACAAUUUGCGCCAUAACUUUUUAUAAUAGUAAUAUCAAAAUCAUGAAACUUUGCACGUAGCAUUUUGUAAGGUGUUUCAAUAAACACUUUACGGAAUACACAUACUUUGCGGACAUAAAAUGGUCAGGCACGUAGUUUUACAUGUUAAUGCGACCAGCUGACGGUCUGUCCACCACGAUACAAU